AUACGGAGGGGGCUAGCGUUGUUCGGAAUUACUGGGCGUAAAGCGUACGCAGGCGGAUUGUUAAGUUAGAGGUGAAAUCCCAGGGCUCAACCCUGGAACUGCCUUUAAAACUGGCAAUCUAGAGUUAUGGAGAGGUAAGUGGAAUUCCUAGUGUAGAGGUGAAAUUCGUAGAUAUUAGGAGGAACACCAGAGGCGAAGGCGGCUUACUGGACAUAUACUGACGCUGAGGUACGAAAGUGUGGGGAGCGAACGGGAUUAGAAACCCUAGUAGUCC
rnacentral:rRNA from 1 species